ACUCUGAGUGCUAAUUACAGUACUUCAAGCCUGGUUUUGUGGGACAACAUGAGACCUGAAAGCCUGGGAAAGUCCUCUAAUAAGGAAUGCAGGAGUAGGGAAACCUGAGAAGAGGGAGAGAGCGGAAGAGUUGACCAGAGAGCUAAAGUUUAAGGAGACAAGCGCCAGGCUGACCCUUCUUGCAAGGAUGGAGGUGAAGGACAUUUCCUGUAUCUUUGGUUUUCCCAGGCUCAAG
rnacentral:lncRNA from 1 species